rnacentral:rRNA from 1 species
UACGUAGGCAGCGAGCGUUGUUCGGAGUUACUGGGCGUAAAGAGUGCGUAGGCGGUUUUCUAAGUUUGGGGUGAAAUCUCCCGGCUUAACUGGGAGGGUGCGCCGAAGACUGGAAGGCUUGAGUAUGGGAGAGGUAAGCGGAAUUCCAGGUGUAGCGGUGAAAUGCGUAGAUAUCUGGAGGAAUACCGGUGGCGAAGGCGGCAUCCUGGACCAUUACUGACACUGAACCGCGAAAGCUAGGGGAGCAAACGGG